CCUACGGGGGGCUGCAGUGAGGAAUAUUGGUCAAUGGACGAGAGUCUGAACCAGCCAAGUAGCGUGAAGGAUGACUGCCCUAUGGGUUGUAAACUUCUUUUAUAAAGGAAUAAAACGAGGCACGUGUGCCUUUUUGCAUGUACGUUAUGAAUAAGGAUCGGCGAACUCCGUGCCAGCAUCCGCGGUAAUACGGAGGAUCCGAGCGUUAUCCGGAUUUAUUGGGUUUACAGGGAGCGUAGAUGGGUUGUUAAGUCAGUUGUGACAGUUUGCGGCUCAACCGUCAAAUUGCAAUUGAUACUGGCAGUCUUGCGUACAGUUGAGGUAGGCGGACUUC
rnacentral:rRNA from 1 species